rfam:Gossypium arboreum cultivar AKA8401 contig_7488_1, whole genome shotgun sequence.
UGUUAAAAAAAUUAUCUAUCUUUAUUGUUAAAAAUCGACAUAUUUGACGGAAUAAUCAAAUAAUUACACGUACUGUGCCACGUAUACCUUAUCAUAAUGUAAAAUGACCAAUUUUCAAUAGUGGACAUGGAUAUAAUUUUUAAAA